AAAUGGGAUGCCUCGGGAGCGUCCGGGACGGGGUCUCCCACACAAGCUCUCAGGUCGUUUCGGAGCAAUCCCACGCCAAGGCCGGCCUUGAGGCAGCGGUCUCUGGAAGGUGUUGGACGAUAGCCUAUCAACUGAGUAACCUGCUGGACCUUCAGCGAAGACGAGCCAUUUCCAUGUUUUCCGCAUGACCUCUAAACCCUGGUUCAUCUUGACCGCAGCAACAGCUACCAGUCGUCAGGAUUAGCCUUCCUGAAACUGUAACUGGCAGUGAAAUCCUAUACACGUCUGCUUAGAAGCAGUCCCCACCGAAUUAAUUGGUCUUACCCUCAGGUAAAUGUGUUUAGAGCUAGAGAUUAAGUACGGUUUGAGAAAAGAGAAGACACGUGUCUGGGUACAUCCGGGAUACCCCUGUGACUUAGUAUAUCCCUUCAGCGUUCAGCUUACAAAGAGAGGAGACACGUUUAAGGAGCAAAACAGCAACCACGGGCCGCGGAAUUUGAUCAGAUCAUAUUUGGCUGUGUGGCCUGGUCUCUUGGAAUCUGUCAAUUGCACACCAGUUGGGAGGAAAAAGCCCUCCUGCCUUGCCCGCCUUUAAUCGCACUGGUUCCCUACCUUGCCCUGUUAAGAAGGAACCGGGCCUUACACAGGCUGACCCUCCCAGGAAGAGGAAAGGAGGGAGAAUGCCCUGGUCUCCUUUUUUCCCAAGCAGAAAAGCCCCCCAGGUUGCUGUUUCUGGGUGCUGACCCCCCCUUGCCUAUUUUCGGCCCACUUGUUUCAUCAACAAGUUUUAAGAAUAAUUUUCUCUAGCAUCUUUAGAGACGGACUUUUGUCUCUUUCCCCUAUAAGCUUGUCAUACUUUAUUUUAAGACCCGGGAUUAUUUGUUCCAAUAACAAUAGAAGAAGGAAACAUGUUACAUAUAAACACCAAGGUUUAGGGUGCUGUUGCUGACUCUAAAAUUUAACAGGACCAAAGGAAAUACAGUGUGGGAAAUGAAAGAGGCGGCUUUUCCAGAAAAGAAACAAAAUGUAUCAGCUUUAGAUUGGUCAUUUACAGGGCAAAUACAUUUUAAAAGGCACUUUGAGGGGUCUCUUAUAAGGACGGAGCUCCAGGUCCCUAGGUAUGCAUAAGGAUUUAAUUAUACAGUACAUUGUGGCU